rnacentral:rRNA from 1 species
GAUGAACGCUGGCGGCGUGCCUAAUACAUGCAAGUCGAGCGAACGGACGAGAAGCUUGCUUCUCUGAUGUUAGCGGCGGACGGGUGAGUAACACGUGGAUAACCUACCUAUAAGACUGGGAUAACUUCGGGAAACCGGAGCUAAUACCGGAUAAUAUUUUGAACCGCAUGGUUCAAAAGUAAAAGACGGUCUUGCUGCCACUUAUAGAUGGAUCCGCGCUGCAUUAGCUAGUUGGUAAGGUAACGGCUUACCAAGGCAACGAUGCAUAGCCGACCUGAGAGGGUGAUCGGCCACACUGGAACUGAGACACGGUCCAGACUCCUACGGGAGGCAGCAGUAGGGAAUCUUCCGCAAUGGGCGAAAGCCUGACGGAGCAACGCCGCGUGAGUGAUGAAGGUCUUCGGAUCGUAAAACUCUGUUAUUAGGGAAGAACAUAUGUGUAAGUAACUGUGCACAUCUUGACGGUACCUAAUCAGAAAGCCACGGCUAACUACGUGCCAGCAGCCGCGGUAAUACGUAGGUGGCAAGCGUUAUCCGGAAUUAUUGGGCGUAAAGCGCGCGUAGGCGGUUUUUUAAGUCUGAUGUGAAAGCCCACGGCUCAACCGUGGAGGGUCAUUGGAAACUGGAAAACUUGAGUGCAGAAGAGGAAAGUGGAAUUCCAUGUGUAGCGGUGAAAUGCGCAGAGAUAUGGAGGAACACCAGUGGCGAAGGCGACUUUCUGGUCUGUAACUGACGCUGAUGUGCGAAAGCGUGGGGAUCAAACAGGAUUAGAUACCCUGGUAGUCCACGCCGUAAACGAUGAGUGCUAAGUGUUAGGGGGUUUCCGCCCCUUAGUGCUGCAGCUAACGCAUUAAGCACUCCGCCUGGGGAGUAUGACCGCAAGGUUGAAACUCAAAGGAAUUGACGGGGACCCGCACAAGCGGUGGAGCAUGUGGUUUAAUUCGAAGCAACGCGAAGAACCUUACCAAAUCUUGACAUCCUUUGACAACUCUAGAGAUAGAGCCUUCCCCUUCGGGGGACAAAGUGACAGGUGGUGCAUGGUUGUCGUCAGCUCGUGUCGUGAGAUGUUGGGUUAAGUCCCGCAACGAGCGCAACCCUUAAGCUUAGUUGCCAUCAUUAAGUUGGGCACUCUAAGUUGACUGCCGGUGACAAACCGGAGGAAGGUGGGGAUGACGUCAAAUCAUCAUGCCCCUUAUGAUUUGGGCUACACACGUGCUACAAUGGACAAUACAAAGGGCAGCGAAACCGCGAGGUCAAGCAAAUCCCAUAAAGUUGUUCUCAGUUCGGAUUGUAGUCUGCAACUCGACUACAUGAAGCUGGAAUCGCUAGUAAUCGUAGAUCAGCAUGCUACGGUGAAUACGUUCCCGGGUCU